UGCUUUGCUGACGAGUGGCGGACGGGUGAGUAAUGUCUGGGAAACUGCCUGAUGGAGGGGGAUAACUACUGGAAACGGUAGCUAAUACCGCAUAACGUCGCAAGACCAAAGAGGGGGACCUUCGGGCCUCUUGCCAUCGGAUGUGCCCAGAUGGGAUUAGCUAGUAGGUGGGGUAACGGCUCACCUAGGCGACGAUCCCUAGCUGGUCUGAGAGGAUGACCAGCCACACUGGAACUGAGACACGGUCCAGACUCCUACGGGAGGCAGCAGUGGGGAAUAUUGCACAAUGGGCGCAAGCCUGAUGCAGCCAUGCCGCGUGUAUGAAGAAGGCCUUCGGGUUGUAAAGUACUUUCAGCGGGGAGGAAGGGAGUAAAGUUAAUACCUUUGCUCAUUGACGUUACCCGCAGAAGAAGCACCGGCUAACUCCGUGCCAGCAGCCGCGGUAAUACGGAGGGUGCAAGCGUUAAUCGGAAUUACUGGGCGUAAAGCGCACGCAGGCGGUUUGUUAAGUCAGAUGUGAAAUCCCCGGGCUCAACCUGGGAACUGCAUCUGAUACUGGCAAGCUUGAGUCUCGUAGAGGGGGGUAGAAUUCCAGGUGUAGCGGUGAAAUGCGUAGAGAUCUGGAGGAAUACCGGUGGCGAAGGCGGCCCCCUGGACGAAGACUGACGCUCAGGUGCGAAAGCGUGGGGGAGCAAACAGGAUUAGAUACCCUGGUAGUCCACGCCGUAAACGAUGUCGACUUGGAGGUUGUGCCCUUGAGGCGUGGCUUCCGGAGCUAACGCGUUAAGUCGACCGCCUGGGGAGUACGGCCGCAAGGUUAAAACUCAAAUGAAUUGACGGGGGCCCGCACAAGCGGUGGAGCAUGUGGUUUAAUUCGAUGCAACGCGAAGAACCUUACCUGGUCUUGACAUCCACAGAACUUUCCAGAGAUGGAUUGGUGCCUUCGGGAACUGUGAGACAGGUGCUGCAUGGCUGUCGUCAGCUCGUGUUGUGAAAUGUUGGGUUAAGUCCCGCAACGAGCGCAACCCUUAUCCUUUGUUGCCAGCGGUCCGGCCGGGAACUCAAAGGAGACUGCCAGUGAUAAACUGGAGGAAGGUGGGGAUGACGUCAAGUCAUCAUGGCCCUUACGACCAGGGCUACACACGUGCUACAAUGGCGCAUACAAAGAGAAGCGACCUCGCGAGAGCAAGCGGACCUCAUAAAGUGCGUCGUAGUCCGGAUUGGAGUCUGCAACUCGACUCCAUGAAGUCGGAAUCGCUAGUAAUCGUGGAUCAGAAUGCCACGGUGAAUACGUUCCCGGGCCUUGU
rnacentral:rRNA from 1 species